UUAAGUUCAGCGGGUAGUCUUACUUGAUUUGAGAUCGAGUUUAACAAGAGGUUUUGAAGACUCUUGUGAAAAUCCUGCAUCAGUCAGCCAAAAUGGUCAAACUCCCUUUAUAUUAGCUGCAGCAAAAGUAAUAAUCCGUUUGACGGGACUAAAUGAAUAUGCUUUUAGCUCAGGAGAAUGUCCAGCUGCACCUGCAUUUC
rnacentral:misc_RNA from 1 species